rnacentral:rRNA from 1 species
CCUACGGGGGGCUGCAGUCGAGAAUCAUUCGCAAUGGGCGAAAGCCUGACGGUGCGACGUCGCGUGGAGGAUGAAGGUCUUCGGAUUGUAAACUCCUGUCAUGUGGGAUAAAUGGCCCGGGCCCGAAUACGGCCUGGGAAUGAUCGUACCACAGGAGGAAGAGACGGCUAACUCUGUGCCAGCAGCCGCGGUAAUACAGAGGUCUCGAGCGUUGUUCGGAUUUACUGGGCGUAAAGGGAGCGUAGGCGGUUUGGUGUGUCGAAUGUGAAAGCCCGCAACUCAACUGCGGAAUGGCAUUCGAAACUACCAGGCUAGAGUACUGGAGAGGAGAGCGGAAUUCUUGGUGUAGCGGUGAAAUGCGUAGAUAUCAAGAGGAACACCGGUGGCGAAGGCGGCUCUCUGGACAGAUACUGACGCUGAGGCUCUAAAGUUAGGGGAGCAAACAGGAUUAGAUACCCUGGUAGUC